rnacentral:lncRNA from 1 species
UACAGGUGCGCCACCACGCAUGGCUAAUUUUUAUAUUUUAGUAGAGAUGGGGUUUCACCGUGUUGCUCAGGCUGAUCUCGAACUCCUUACUUCAAGUAAUCCACCUGCCAAAGUGUUGGGAUUACAGGUGUGAGCUACAGCCCCCGGUCUUUUGCUCACUCUUAAUUCUCCUCCUGAGCUGCUUCUCAGUAGACAGGUAGUGACAGUGUCAUGAGUGGAGUUCGUUUCUGU